UAGGCUAAUGUGUUAGCAAAGUAUAGCUAGCUAGACUAUUUAAACAUUGACAGGGACAUUUUUUUAAAAGUAUUUAUUUGGAGUCCUAUGUGUGGCCAGCUGAUGAAUAGGGCACGUGGAGUGGAGAGAGAGGAGAGUGGUCUUUUAAAAACUGCUUCAGUGCACUAAUGUCCCUGAAACCUGAACCCUUAUUGGAUGUGAAGGGCAUUAUAAGACCUCCACACCCUCUGUUUAAAGGUGAGGAUUAAAGGGAAGGAGAAGGGAAAAAGCCUUGAAGCAGAGCCCAGUCCGGCUCAGCCCUUCUCCCUGUGUGCCUGUCCCCUCGUCUCUGCUGCCGGGCUGAUUGACCGAACCUCCGACAGACCGACCGGCCGGACGCUUCCCUUCCACCGAGCCUGUUACUGUGAUGCAGCCAGGCACCGCUAGCUGCCUCGUGGCCUCUGACGUUUGGUGGAAAAGAGAGGAUGUGCUCAGCGUUCCUGUUCUCCACCUGCGUUCAGCUCCGGGGUCCUGACCUUCCUAAAAAAAGAAACACUUGAGAGAGACAUGUUGAGGAUCUGUCACCUCCUGCUGUAUGCAGGGAACACAGCAACCUCUUCUGGACAAACGUGAAAGUAGCAGAGGGUGUAAUGGAGCCAACCUAACAGAA